ACAAAAUGUAUCUUCAGUCAUUAGUAGGAGCAAAACCAUCCAGAUGUGCUCUCGGUUUCAGUGAACUUAGGCUGGAGGUUGGGGUGUACUCACAGACUAAAACGAUGCUCUCCAGAAACAAAACACUUGACCAAGCAUGCGCCAAAGGGACCGCGGAAUUGGCCAAAAGUGGGACUCAGAAGCCAGUCCGUCAUCCAGCUGGGCGAGCAGGAAGUCACAAGUGCAAAAGGCUAAACGACUCAAGAACAGUCCCCACCCCGCCCUGGGCGCCCACCUACCUGAGGCUUGUCCGAAGGAAGGUUGGGAUGCACACUUCGGUAGCCCUUGGCAACGAGUGGAGAGGGCUGGGCGUUUCCAUUGGCAUCAGCAUUGGAAGGAAGCCUCCACUCAUCUGAGAGAUGAAAAAAAGAAGAAACCCCUCACUCACAGGAACACUCCCUGGUUCUCCUCUUAAUUGAAGGGUUCCUGGUGGAAGGCAGGGACAGAAAGGAUGCAAGAGAAAUCAUACCUGCUGAGGAAUUCUCUGACUCCAGAACUACAUGUGGCGCACAGAGGAUGAAAACAAGAAGGGGGGAAAACAGAAAUGGUUACGUUUGCAGGAAACAAGCACGUACUGCACAGAAAGACGAAACUCCAGCACUCCGUUGCCUGACACAAAAUGCCCUCAGUCACGAUGGUCUAAUUACCAUAGGAACCCACUCUAAACCAUGAUGUGCUCACAGGCGCUGACCUUUGAAAACACAAGGCUCACAUUCACAGUAAUGAAGAAACAAUUGUUCUUGACAUUCUUAUUUUACAGACAAAAAGGCCACAGCACUCUCCUGUCCAGUCCUGACUCACUAACUUGCAUUCCCCUUUUAUAAGCCUGACGUGGGCCCAGAAUGACCUCUCCUCAUCAGCAGCCUGGGCUAAUUAACAGACCCGGAGAGGGAGACAUCGAUAAGCACUUUUUCCAUGGCUGUUGGUGCUGCGCAAAGGGGAGAACAUGAUUUAAGCCCCAAGGUAUCUGCUGUGAUAAGGGCUUUUUUUCCUCCCUGCCUGCCUUUCUUCUUUCCAUUAAACGAGCUACAUAAAGAUUUCAAAAUCUAAUCACCCUGAGUUUUCAUCAUACUACAAGGCACCCUUGUUCCCCUUCAGCCAGCUACCACCCUGCCCUCCAUCUAUUGCCUGGAGCAGCUCAGAGACCCUAAACCUCUCCUAACCUGACCAGCACCACGAGGCAGGACGGCACAGUGGUCACAAGCUUGGCUGGGAAGGCAGCUGGACCUCAAUUCAAAUCCUGGCUCCUCCACCUAUGGGCUCUGUGGCCCUGGGCAAGUUAUAAGCCUCAGUUUUCCCAUAUAAAAAAUGGGGGUAACGAUAUGCCUGCUUCAUACGUGUUGUUUUAAGAAUUAAAAGAUAUAAUGCAUGAGAGAUGCUUAGAACAGUGCCUGGCAGAGCUCAGCAACGUUUGUUAUUUACCACCAUCUUCUGCAUCAUCUCUUGUCUCUAUUCUCUAUCUUCCAUGUAGCCCAGGGGUUAGCAAACCUUUUCUGUAAAGGGCCAGUUAGCAAAUACUUUAGGCUUUGACGGCCAUAUGGGCUCAGUCACAACUAUUCAACUCUGCUGUUGUAGCACAAAAGCAGCCGCAAACAAUAUCAAGUGAACGAGGGUGGCUGUGUUCCAAUAAACCUUUAUUUGUGGAAA